UGCCUGAUUUCUCUAAGCCCUUUGAAGUCCACACCGAUGCUUCCGAAUUCGCCAUUGGUGGGGUGUUGAUGCAGGAAAAGCAUCCCAUUGCCUUCGAGAGCCGGAAGCUAAAUGAUACGGAGCGGAGAUACCCAGUGCAUGAUAAAGAGAUGACUGCCAUCAUCCAUUGCCUACGAGUGUGGAGGCAUUAUUUGCUUGGGAGCCGAUUUCUCAUUAAAACUGAUAAUGUGGCUACGAGCUACUUCCAAAAUCAGAAGAAGCUCUCUCCUAAGCAAGCUCGGUGGCAGGAUUUCUUGGCAGAAUUCGACUACGUGAUGGAGUACAAACCGGGCAGAGCUAACGUGGUAGCUGAUGCGUUGAGUCGCAAGGCCGAAUUUCACUCCAUCAGUAGUGCCUC
rnacentral:misc_RNA from 1 species